rnacentral:rRNA from 1 species
AUUGAACGCUGGCGGCAGGCCUAACACAUGCAAGUCGAGCGGAUGAAGGGAGCUUGCUCCUGGAUUCAGCGGCGGACGGGUGAGUAAUGCCUAGGAAUCUGCCUGGUAGCGGGGGAUAACGUCCGGAAACGGGCGCUAAUACCGCAUACGGCCUGAGGGCGAAAGUGGGGGAUCUUCGGACCUCUCGCUAUUUGAUGAGCCUAGGUCGGAUUAGCUAGUUGGUGGGGUAAAGGCCUACCAAGGCGACGAUACGGAACUGGUCUGAGAGGAUGGUCAGUCAGACUGGGAGUGAGACAGGGUACAAAGUCCUGGAGGAAGCAGCAGUGGGGAAUAUUGGGCGAGGGGCGAGAGCCUGAUCCAGCCAUGCGGGGGGUGGAAGGAGGGUCUUCGGAUGGGGGAGCACUGUAAGUGGGGGGGAAGGGCAGUUAGGUAAUACCGAACUGUAAUGACGGUACCAGGAGAAUAAGCACCGGCUAACUUCGUG